AUCAAGUUAAUAACGUACCUGUGCAAUUGUAAUUUCAUAUAAAAGUCUACAUUGUUGUGGAUGUAAUUCAACCGACCUGUUAAUUGCCAGAGAUUGUGUAUUAAUACCUACAGCCAAAUAUAAAGAACAAUUUCGAGUGUACAAUUCGAUUUAAAAGUCCGGUAUUUGAAACUUAGGGCAUGUAAAGGUUAAUAAAAUUGUUUGAAUAGCAACGAACUUUCUUCAUAUUCAUUUCGUUCUAUUUUCAUUACAUCUAACUAGAGAAAUCUAAUUAAACACACAACCUUCAGAAUCUGUGACCCUUGAACAUGAAUAUCAACCAACAAAAAAGAAAUUCUUGUUUAAUAUACAGUCAGUGUAAUAAGUAUUCGUACAGGAAUCAGUUCGAAAUAAAACUUCAUAUAUUUAUUUUAUUAAUAAAUUUUAGGGGAAGAAAUAAUUAACCAUCAUUCCUAGACAUUUUUAGAGUAGAUUUUGUGUAAAUUAAAGUUGAUUACUUCGAAUGUUAACCUCCUAUUUCUUAUUAGUUUUAUUUUAGUAAAACCCUCGAUUUAAAACUAGUCGUAGUUUUCUGAUCACUGCUUAUCAACAAACUUUUUUAUCGCGAAAUAAAUGUAGAAAAAUGACUUUGUACAUGGUAUUUGAGAAGGCCAACGUUACGUCAUACCCAAAAAGGGCACGUCGAAGGAAAGAUUACGUAAUACUCGAUUACGUAUAAGGAUCUUCGGAUAAACCUGUUGCAAUGCGUGAACGAUACAUGUUAGUCUGCGUAUGCAAAUGCUGAUGUAAAUAAAACUGUGUAAGGUUGUCACGUGAGACAAACACAUAGAUAGACAAUCUAUAUAAAGUCUAGUCGUCCGGUUAUUUCGGCAGUGAGAGAUACUGAACGCAUGGAAAACAUGUCACCGAUACUCGUCCUUUUCUUGGUUGCCAUCGUGAGCUCGACCGCGUUUGGCCAAGAUGCUGAAACAAAAUGCAUUCCGGGUAGAAGAUAUCACGAUGGAUGCAAUUCUUGCUUCUGUUCCGAAACUGGAGUACUAGGCUGCACUCUAAUGGAAUGCGUAUCAUUCGAUCCUAAAACUGGCGAAGUUGUGACAACUCCAAGAAAACUGGUACUCAUAGAAGAUGAGAGUAAACAGGUUGAAUCAAGUUAAUAAUGUACCUGUGCAAUUGUAAUUUCAUAUAAGAGUCUA